rnacentral:other from 1 species
CGCCUUCUGCGGUGCACGUUAGCGGUUAAGAUCUCCUUGAGCCUAAUUAUUGUCCCAGGGAAUCGGUCGGACAGGCCUGUGCGCAUGUCCGCCAUGUGUGGAAAGCCUUACGGCCUGACGCUGGUUCCCACCUGAACCUCCGGUUCAAGGGCAAUACUGCGACGGUAUUCGCGGAAGGUGC